GGGUUUUUCAAAAAUUUCCCAGAAAGACAAAUAUAUCUAAGUCCCGCGAUGCCAAGCGGUUAUGGCGAAAGUACAACUUUCAGCAACGGAUGUCUAGGGUCUCGCAUCGAUGAAGAACGCAGCGAAAUGUGAUACGUAAUGCGAAUUGCAAAGCUUUGUGAAUCAUUGAAAUUUUGAACGCAUAUUGCGCUUGCAGGAUUUUUCCUGGGAGCAUGCAUGUCUGAGUGUCAGCAAACACCACUCAGCGCCUUUGCUUGCAAGGGUUGCUGGAUUCUUGCAUUGGUUUAUGAAAAUAAACACUGUGCAUAAGUGUAGACGAGAGGAUUUCAGAGUAGGUUAUCGAGCCGCGUGAUUUCUAUUUCUGUAUGUUCGCUUCUGUGUUCAUAUGAAAAUUGGGGUCGCAAAGUGUUGACGUAAUUAUUUCUCAGUUAUCAGCUUGAUGGGGAAAUUUAUUUCUCCAAAAUUUUUUACUGCGACGCA
rnacentral:misc_RNA from 1 species